CCGGGAAUCAAACAUGGGUCUUUGCACUUGUGAGGCAGUCGGCGGAACCACUGAGCUAAAUCCCUGGCCCUGGAGAUGUUACAACUUUUUAAUGAGAACUGAAGACCUUAUUUAUAAGUAGCUGUCCCGGCCCGCGGGGUCUUGGAACUUACUAUGUAGCCCAAGCUGGCCUCUCGAACUCACAGCGAUCCUCCUGGCUUAGCCACUGGAGUGCUAGGAUCACAGGCAUGUGCCACUAUGCCUGGCUUGUAACAACAGUAUUACUAUCACAUUUGAGGUAGAGAGCCCAAGAGUAGAACCUGUUUGUUUUAUUGGAAAUCACAUUUAUAUUUUUCUUCAAGUAAGAUCUUUUUCAUCUCACAAAAUCUCAGUAUUAAGCAUGUAUAUAGUUUGUUAAAAAAUUUUACAGCAGAGAUGUGAAUUGAACUGCAUGAGCAGGGCAAACAAAUGCAUAGUUAUGUGUCUGGAGCAUGCAGCCUAAGUAGAAAGAAUGAAAAAAAUGCAAAAAGUGAGCAAACAAUCUUUAGUGUCAGAUUGUUAAGAUAGAGACAGGAGGAUGAGUAUCUGUUUUUCAUGAAAACACCAAAGAAAUCAACUAAAUGCUACCCUGAUAAAUAUACUGAAUUGAGACAAAAAAUGCAGUGCAGGUACUGCUUGUAGGACUAAAUAACAAAAAUGAAUAAUUAAAGUACUGUGAAUUGUCCAAAGACCCAGUCAACAUCAAAAACAAAGUUUGCAGAUAAUAAUCAACUCUUCAUGGAAAUUUAUGGAAGAUGGACAAACUCUUAAAUUAGAAUGACUUAUCUUGGGGAAAACUCAGAAAAUAUGUUUAAGUUCCUGUGAUACUGUGAUGUAUUAAAUACUGUUGAUGAGGUAACCAUAUAUGGACUGAAUGGGCAAAUAGGAUAGUAGCAAGUAGGAUGACAGUGACAAGACUUAUAACAAAGAAACUGAAUAGACUCAACUGGAAACCAAAACAGCUAACAAAUCUAAACGCAGGACCAAUGAGCGGUAUGAACAUAAAUGUCACUUAUAAUCUAGAAUUAAUUAGAAUGAUACAUUAUCAAAAAAUUGUAUGUAGAUUUACUUUAGAGCACACUUUAUUUACUCACAAUAAUUUAACUAUCAAGUAAUUUUAAGCACAUAAAACUUAAGUGCUCUAUAGCAUCAAACAAAUUUAUCUUCUUGUGGCUAAUUUUAUAAGUCUAUUAAAUGUGUAUUAUGGACCUUAAUAUUCUUCUCAGUUCCAGUAUUAUAUGACUUCUUAGUGUAAAAAAAUUUUAGACAUCUGAAUAUGUACUUUAGUAGAAAAUACUCUAUUCAUUAAAUAUACAUAUAAAUGCCAAUAAUGUGCCAGACACUGAAAAUACCAUGGGAAGAAGAUAUGUUAGCUAUAUGGAAAUAACCAUGAGCAGGGAGAGCAGAGAGAUACAUACAUACACACACGUGCACAAGCAUACACAUACACACACACACACAGAUCUACAGAAACAUUAUGAAUAUGAUUUUAUUUACUUUUCUAUAUAUAAAAAUUAUUUAUCUAACUUCACAUUUAUUGCAUUAAUUAUAUUUCAACAAAUAUAAAUUAAAAUGUAACUUGUUUUACCUCAUUUCUAUAGAUAUUUAUGAAAAAUGUAAAUGAUAGUACAUUUUCUCCCAUUCCUGCCACUCAGUAUUGAUUACAAUCCAUACAGUUGACCCAAAAUUACUUUAUUUCCUAAUUCGUUUAAAUACUGCCAUGACAAAAAUUCCCACUUUUGCCCCAGUUUGAGGGAUGUUCAUAUUUGGUUUUAGCUUCAUGUUACAACAUUCUCUUUGACAGAAAAGCAAUAGAUAUCCUCUAUGGUAAAAUAACCAAGUGAGAUUUGGUGAUUCACAUGUAUAUGUCCCUGUGUAUGUGUAUCCUUUAGUGUGGGGUGUAAAUAACUUUACAUAGAACUCAAAUCUUUAAAAACAUGGAAAGUCAACUAUUAUCUUUAUCCCAUUUUUGUUAAUAUAUUAAGUUUUGGUUAAUGUAGUCCAAGCUUUAUAUUCUCUGUAUAAUGUCUUUCUGAGUCAUACCUUACACUAAAGUGUCCUUACUUUUAAGUAGUAAAAUAAGUGGUUUUUGAUGACAGGUAGUAAGCACCUACCUUUUUCAAGUGUGAGCAUAUUACUUUUCUAGCCACUCAUAUUUCAAUAUUAUUUUACUAUCUAUUAUACUGAAAAUGAGCAUUUGAAAUGACAAAGUAUACAUAGAAUGUCAAAUUCAAAUAAAUGCCACUUUCAUUAUUUUGUCAUGAAACUGCUUGAUAAUGAAGAGUAAUGAAGCACUAUUGAAUUCUGUAUCUUACAGUUUUGCUCUACAGGAACUCUUUGUUCAUUAAAGUAAUAGUUCCUAAUAAAGAUUCCUUUGGGAAUUAGCUGUCAGAGUGGCUUCACACAAGGCAUUUUUUUCAAUAACAAUUCACUAAUAAAUUAUGGAUAAAAAAUACAGCUGCUCAAAUUGAGUACCAUUGUAAGAAACACAGUAAUUUUCUAACAGACAAAGCAACCAAUAAUUUCCUCCCUAAGGUUUUGUAUAGGUCAAAGGUCCCCCCAUGCCUCAGGUGUCAUCCAAGAAGUUUAGGCUAAUAAACAGAGAAUAUUAAAAAUUAAGGAUGUUAUAGAAUUUGCCUUCUAAUGAUUGUAAUAUAGUUGGACUUCUUUAUUUAGUUCUCAAGGCAAAAUAUGUCAAUACAUGUCAGAGUACACAUCAGAGAGUUGUUGCAUGUGUUCACAGUCUCUGGGAUUAGUUAAAAAUCAACAGCAUUUAACAUACACUAUUUGAACAAUUGGGAAUCCAAAUCUAAUAUGGUAGUAGUAAGUAUCAAGUUCAACUAAAGUAUCAUAGUUUAUAUAUUGCAAUAGAUUUUCUGUUACAUAUAUGAAAAUGUCUGUCACAGGUCCUGUCACACAGAAGCCACCAAAUUUGUUCUUGUUGGAUAAAUAGCUGUUGAUCAGCUGUGGUUAUUAUAUUAAAUUCUGAUUAGUAUAUUCAAAACAUUAUAAUCUUUUUGGUAUUUAUUGAACCUAAUUUUUCAGUAAAGGUGUACUUAGACUUCUAGAACCAGCAUCAUCAAGCUCUUUCAACUUCCUGCUUUUGUAUCAGGGAUGAAAUUCCUAUGAUAUUUUCCAUUAAAGAG
ensembl:lncRNA